rnacentral:rRNA from 1 species
UACAGAGGGGGCAAGCGUUAUUCGGAAUUAUUGGGCGUAAAGGGCGCGUAGGCGGCCUUCUAAGUCGGACGUGAAAUCCCUCGGCUUAACCGAGGAACUGCGUCCGAUACUGAAAGGCUUGAAUCCGGGAGAGGGAUGUGGAAUUCCAGGUGUAGCGGUGAAAUGCGUAGAUAUCUGGAGGAACACCGGUGGCGAAGGCGGCAUCCUGGACCGGCAUUGACGCUGAGGCGCGAAAGCUAGGGGAGCAAACGGG